GGAACAGCUGUGGUCCACUCUUGAGCUCUAGCAACUUGCAUUCAUUCCCUUUCAAGGUUUUGUUGGGGUUUUUUGCUUUAGUGGAGGCACGGCAGCUUGUUGUGGGGGCUAGGCGUGUGUGGUGGAAUCCCACCUGAUGCAUGUGUGUGUACAUACACACUAGGAAAUAGGACUGCAGUGAGACUACACUGCUGGUUCGCUGUUGGAGGAGGAGGGUGACAUUUUAAUAAAAUACCAGGCAUGCUGUCUCUUUCCUUCACUCCUUUGGUGACAAGAACCCUAUCUCAUAUGAUAAAAAUAUCCCAGUUUUGCUUUCUUAAGGAAUGAGGAAUGACUCACAGUGUGCAUUAGCAGUCACCUGUACCGAAUAAAUGAGCUGUGGCAUAAAGCAGGGCUGAAGUGCUAUGUUAGAAUAAGGAUAUCUUGUUACCGGAGCUGUCCAUCACAGUGAAUGUGAGCCCACCUCCGAUCCCCGAACUCUGUGGGUUGAUGAUGGAGGUGCACAGCAGUGCAGCAAUGGCAGCAUCUACUGCAGAGCCACCUUU